GAGAGGUGGGUGCUGCCAUGUGGCAAUCAACAUCACUAUCUGGACAGUUUACAUUUGAAAGUAUUUCUUUGGAGCUGUUUGCCUUUGGCCCAAGAGUUAAGGGAAGGCUCAGGACUGUUUACUGGCGGAAGAUCUGUCCUAUGACCAAAGUACUCCUGUCUGCUAUGGGAGAUCAGGGGAUGAUACCAUCGUAUCUUGUGAAGGCAAGAUGCAAGUUGGCAUCUCCGUACUCCCUCUUAACUGCUGGCAAGGCCAGGGAGAUAGGAACAAAAGGAGUUCCUGCUGAGAUCCAAAAGCCGGAAGCUGUCAUUCCAAAAGGCUGACUCAACCACUUUGGACUUAUAAAUAUGUUUGUGCUGCCAUGGCAAUUAUCAUCGUCGUCAUCGUCGUCGCAGUGGUCACCAUCCUCAUCAACGGAACAAUGCCCAAUGGCCCACCUCUACUGAAGAGCAAUGACUGAACCACAAACCACGCUGGACCCAUGAUGCUGGUCUGAUGGAGCCGGAGACCUGCAGCCCCCUAGGUGAUUUUCCCCCACCAGCUCUCCUACCAAACAUCUCCUCAGCUCAGGAAGGCAAUCUGGUGCUCGCCCGCUGCCUGGUUUUCUCCCAUCUCCCCAUCACCCACAUCUUCUUCUGCAAGAACGGAGUGGUGCUGGAGAACCACCCCGUGGGUCCCAAGGAAUUCACAGCCACACUCACCAUCCGGCUUUCUGCGGAGAGCAGUGGCACCUACUCCUGUGGGUACCGACGGCAAAGCAACGUUGGGCACAUCAAGAUCUCAAGUUUGAGCAUCCCAUGGCUCCUGACCAUCGAAGGUAGGAAGGGGGAGCUGAGGAACAGCAGCAGCACCGCCACCACCACCCCAGAGCUGCCAGCUGAAGGGCUGGGAAUCUCACUCAGCCUGGCCCUCGUGUUCAUCUCCCUCCUGGCUCUGGCUUUGAGCAUCCACUUCUUCCUGCAGAUAGGAAAGCGAGUCCAGCUGGCCAGCUUGAAGCAUUUCGUUCAUCCCCCAGUGGAAGAGCCCAGCGUUUCACAGAGGAAGAGUCCUCCAGGAUCUCUUGCAUCUGGAUGACUUCUUGUUGGACCACAGACGUGCUCUUGGAUGUGAAUAUUGCAGCCCUCAAUGGACAUAGCAGGGGGAAUUGGCCCAAGACAGAAUCCCUUAGGCUCAACACCAGCUGCUCUGCAUAGGCAAGAACCAACAGCACCUCUCCAGAUGUUCCAGUGCCAUAGCAACAGCUCUUGGACGUGGAAGUCCAUCAAUUAAUUAAAAAGUUGAUUUCCUCUCUUAAAAUCAACCCUUUUCCUUCGUCUCUGAAGAUUUCCUAGCUGCUCAAUUUCCCACUAGGUUUGAACUUCAGUCCCGGGUGAGUCUCAGCCUCAGAGAGGUAUGGUUGAUAACCAUCCUGGUGGCCAUCAAGAUAUCUUUGUUGCCCAAAGUAGCACCAGGUCCCUUUGCCAACAUCACCCAACUGUUAAGGAGUGUAAAUCCGAUGGGUCUUCCCAUCCAGGUCUUCCCACACUGCCCACCAAAGGCAGUGACUCACCUGAGUGAAUCCAAACUAGCAGAUGGGACCCAAUGGUGAAACCAUUGCCAUUCAGCCCUUUGGAGAUUUCCUCCUUGGCCAUGGUCCUGAGCUGCUGUUAUGACACAGG
ensembl:lncRNA